AUGUUGGCUCUUCGCCACCUGGAGUUGUAGGUGGUUCCAAGGGUUGGGUUGUUUAGCCAUUAAUGUGUUACACGAGUUGGGUUCAGAAUAUCGUGAGACAGUUC
rnacentral:ncRNA from 1 species